rnacentral:rRNA from 1 species
AUUGAACGCUGGCGGCAGGCCUAACACAUGCAAGUCGAGCGGAUGACGGGAGCUUGCUCCUUGAUUCAGCGGCGGACGGGUGAGUAAUGCCUAGGAAUCUGCCUGAUAGUGGGGGAAAACGUUUCGAAAGGAACGCUAAUACCGCAUACGUCCUACGGGAGAAAGCAGGGGACCUUCGGGCCUUACGCUAACAGAUGCGCCUAGGUCGGAUUAGCUAGUUGGUGGGGUAAUGGCUCACCAAGGCGACGAUCCGUAACUGGUCUGAGAGGAUGAUCAGUCACACUGGAGCUGAGACACGGUCCAGACUCCUACGGGAGGCAGCAGUGGGGAAUAUUGGACAAUGGGCGAAAGCCUGAUCCAGCCAUGCCGCGUGUGUGAAGAAGGUCUUCGGAUUGUAAAGCACUUUAAGUUGGGAGGAAGGGCAGUAAGCUAAUACCUUGCUGUUUUGACGUUACCGACAGAAUAAGCACCGGCUAACUCUGUGCCAGCAGCCGCAGUAACAC